rnacentral:tRNA from 1 species
GCACCAGUAGCUCAGUCGGAUAGAGCAACGCACUCCUAACGCGUAGGUCGGGGGUUCGAUUCCCUCCUGGUGCA